ACCUUAUACAGAUAUAGUGACGCAAGACAGUGGCGUAUCUCCCUGUAAGGUGGUGUUAAAAUAGAAGUAUAAACGACAGGUCUUAUUGUGUAGCAAUUUCGUUGAAAUAGGAUGAGUUUAUAUGGAAGAGGUUAACCGUAAGACCUUGAAUUGAAAAAUUCUAAAAUUGACCUAGCGAUACGGAAAUAGUUCUUAAUUUUCGUAUUACUAGUUACGGUAUC
rnacentral:sRNA from 12 species